UGAGGAACGUGAUUCAACUAGCCAACUGGUGUUGAUUCAUAACGCACAUUGACGUUACAGCUUUGUUGCUGCCGCGCCGAACAGCCUUCACUUGGACUUCGUUGUGAGGCAGAUUACUGUUAAGCGGUAGAGUGUACGGCUAAGGACGAUAACGGACCUGUCCUACACUGAAGGAAUGACUUUACCUAGCUACGCUGAAGGAAUAAAACAGUGGCCAAGAUGUUGAUAAAGGUAAAAUGCGGAGGGACAAAGAAAUAUGUUAAAAUGGAAGACGUCAGCUUCUCAGACUUUAUCAGUGCAGUUCAGCAGAAGUUUCUCAUACCAGAAAGUACACCACUAAAAGUCACAGAUGAGCAAGGCAUAGAGGUGGACGAGGAUGUCUUUCCAGAACUUGCAACAGCCAAAGAAAUAUGUUUUAUCAUCUACACUGAAAAUGAGAUCCCACUAUUAGAAUCUUU